rnacentral:rRNA from 1 species
GACGAAAGUCUGACGGAGCAACGCCGCGUGAGUGAUGAAGGUUUUCGGAUCGUAAAACUCUGUUGUUAGGGAAGAACAAGUACCGUUCGAAUAGGGCGGUACCUUGACGGUACCUAACCAGAAAGCCACGGCUAACUACGUGCCAGCAGCCGCGGUAAUACGUAGGUGGCAAGCGUUGUCCGGAAUCAUUGGGCGUAAAGCGCGCGCAGGUGGUUCCUUAAGUCUGAUGUGAAAGCCCCCGGCUCAACCGGGGAGGGUCAUUGGAAACUGGGGAACUUGAGUGCAGAAGAGGAAAGUGGAAUUCCACGUGUAGCGGUGAAAUGCGUAGAGAUGUGGAGGAACACCAGUGGCGAAGGCGACUUUCUGGUCUGUAACUGACACUGAGGCGCGAAAGCGUGGGGAGCGAACAGGAUUAGAUACCCUGGUAGUCCACGCCGUAAACGAUGAGUGCUAAGUGUUAGGGGGUUUCCGCCCCUUAGUGCUGCAGCAAACGCAUUAAGCACUCCGCCUGGGGAGUACG